GACGAACGCUGGCGGCGUGCUUAACACAUGCAAGUCGAACGGAAAGGCCCUGCUUUUGUGGGGUGCUCGAGUGGCGAACGGGUGAGUAACACGUGAGUAACCUGCCCUUGACUUUGGGAUAACUUCAGGAAACUGGGGCUAAUACCGGAUAGGAUCUCCUGCUGCAUGGUGGGGGUUGGAAAGUUUCGGCGGUUGGGGAUGGACUCGCGGCUUAUCAGCUUGUUGGUGGGGUAGUGGCUUACCAAGGCUUUGACGGGUAGCCGGGCUGAGAGGGUGACCGGCCCCGCUGGGCCUGAGAUACGGCCCAGACUCCUACGGGAGGCAGCAGUGGGGAAUAUUGCACAAUGGGCGGAAGCCUGAUGCAGCAACGCCGCGUGCGGGAUGACGGCCUUCGGGUUGUAAACCGAUUUCGCCUGUGACGAAGCGUGAGUGACGGUAAUGGGUAAAGAAGCACCGGCUAACUACGUG
rnacentral:rRNA from 1 species